AACCCAUUAUUUGGGCAUUUUCUCAAUAUCAUCUUAAAUCUUUCCCAUGUCUCACAGAAGACUUCAUUUCCCCGUUGUCUGAACAUAGAGAUUUGAAACCUGGCUU
rnacentral:snoRNA from 1 species